rnacentral:lncRNA from 1 species
GUUUGGAUCCUUUGUUUUGUUUUGGAAUGAGGCUGUGAAAUGCCAGUCUUGGGUGUUAUCAGGCUGUGUUACUAUUUGGCCAGGGCUUCAUUUGGAGCCAGAGAAUGAGCGAGAACUCUAACCCAAAAAGGUCCUAAGAAGUGUAAUUUCCCAUAGGCAGUGCAAAGGAGAUUGUGUGUUGGAAAGGGUUGACUGCGCUCCCACAGAAAGAAGGCAGAGAUUUACAGUAUUACCAUCUACCAGGAGCUGCGUGAAUAACUAAUAUUCUCUGAUAAAGCCUUUUUCCUAUUAAGGAGUCAACUUUGCAGUAAAGGCAAAGAAGAAUAUAGAAAGUUGCAAAGACAAGGAUUCAUUGCUAUGGAAGAAAAGCCCCUGCUCACUGCUGAGCUUGCGCAGUGGAACAAGGACAGCGGACGAUGCUGAGCUCCCUAACUGACUUCUAAAUUAUUCUAUUCUCAGUGGGUUUUAUUUUUAUUUUUUGAAAAGCAAGAUUGCAAAAUAAAGACCGUCUCUUUG